UAACGUAUCUAUAUAGAUGGCUAGGGGUCCAGCCAUGAUUUAAUUCGGAAAAUUCAAUCAAGUACUUGACUGAGUACGGAAUUGAUGGUACUUGGGGCCCUCAUCAAGCCCUUAUAUAAUUUUGAUUUUUUAACCAUGUUAUUAGUUGCAUUGAUGCUGGUUUUUGUUUGUGAUACGUGAAGAUACGCCUGAAUAAAGUUUCAGAGUUGAUACACAGUUCUACCAAACACCAAAACUUGGACAGUGCAGGCGUUUUUGUUCACUUUCAGGAGAUAAUCGAUAUGGAUGAUAGAACAUAUGAAGCUGUUGCAGGAAGUGACUUUGUCAUUACUAGAGUUGCAUUUCGAGACAACUCUUCAAAGUACUACAUAAAUGACCAUGGAAGUAAUUUUACAGAGGUCACUAAGAAAUUGAAAGGAAAAGGAGUAGACUUGGACAACAAUCGGUUUUUUUAUUCUUCAGGUGAAGUCAAGUAAAUUUCUCUAAUGAAGCCAAAGGCUCAAGUCCUCACGAUGAAGGGUUUCUUGAGUAUCUUGAGGAUAUCAUUGGAACUAACCAAUACGUUGAAAAGAUCGAAGAAUCCAAUAAGGAAGUCCUUUAAUGAUGGUUCGCCCUCGAAUAAUUACAGAAGACGCACAGGAGAAGUUAUCGGUAUAGCUGUCGGAUGUGCAGGUGGACUACUGAUACUCGCAUCCAUUUUCUAUCCAUGGUGGAUGAAGGAUGCACCUGACCAUAUGCGAGUGCACACAGACUCACUGAGAUUUGUAUUUUCAGCAUUAUUGUAAUUGUAAUUGUAAUCAAUUGAAUGAAGGAUUGUAAUUGAAUGAAUGAAU